ACCCCGGUGGUGUAUCGGUAGCACGCGCCCCUGGCAUAGGUGAAACACGGGUUCAACUCCCGGCUAAGGUC